rnacentral:rRNA from 1 species
UCGCUGGCGGCGUGCCUAACACAUGCAAGUCGAACGAGGUAAAUGAGAUGAAGUUUUCGGAUGGAUUCUUAUUUACCGAGUGGCGGACGGGUGAGUAACGCGUGGGUAACCUGCCUCAUACAGGGGGAUAACGAUUGGAAACGAUUGCUAAUACCGCAUAAGCGCACAGUACCACAUGGUACGGUGUGAAAAACUCCGGUGGUAUGAGAUGGACCCGCGUCUGAUUAGCUAGUUGGUGAGGUAACGGCCCACCAAGGCAACGAUCAGUAGCCGACCUGAGAGGGUGACCGGCCACAUUGGGACUGAGACACGGCCCACACUCCUACGGGAGGCAGCAGUGGGGGAUAUUGCACAAUGGAGGAAACUCUGAUGCAGCGACGCCGCGUGAGUGAAGAAGUAUUUCGGUAUGUAAAGCUCUAUCAGCAGGGAAGAAAAUGACGGUACCUGACUAAGAAGCCCCGGCUAACUACGUGCCAGCAGCCGCGGUAAUACGUAGGGGGCAAGCGUUAUCCGGAUUUA